rnacentral:rRNA from 1 species
AUUGAACGCUGGCGGCAGGCCUAACACAUGCAAGUCGAGCGGCAGCGGGAAAGUAGCUUGCUACUUUUGCCAGCGAGCGGCGGACGGGUGAGUAAUGCCUGGGGAUCUGCCCAGUCGAGGGGGAUAACUACUGGAAACGGUAGCUAAUACCGCAUGCGCCCUACGGGGGAAAGCAGGGGACCUUCGGGCCUUGCGCGAUUGGAUGAACCCAGGUGGGAUUAGCUAGUUGGUGAGGUAAUGGCUCACCAAGGCGACGAUCCCUAGCUGGUCUGAGAGGAUGAUCAGCCACACUGGAACUGAGACACGGUCCAGACUCCUACGGGAGGCAGCAGUGGGGAAUAUUGCACAAUGGGGGAAACCCUGAUGCAGCCAUGCCGCGUGUGUGAAGAAGGCCUUCGGGUUGUAAAGCACUUUCAGCGAGGAGGAAAGGUUGGUAGCUAAUAACUGCCAGCUGUGACGUUACUCGCAGAAGAAGCACCGGCUAACUCCGUGCCAGCCGCCGCGGUAAAAC